GGGGGUACAGCUCAGUGGUAGAGCACGUGCUUAGCAUGCAUGAGGUUCUGGGUUCAGUCCCCAGGACCGCCA
rnacentral:tRNA from 1 species